rnacentral:rRNA from 1 species
UAGGGAAUCUUCCACAAUGGACGCAAGUCUGAUGGAGCAACGCCGCGUGAGUGAAGAAGGGUUUCGGCUCGUAAAGCUCUGUUGUUAAAGAAGAACGUGGGUAAGAGUAACUGUUUACCCAGUGACGGUAUUUAACCAGAAAGCCACGGCUAACUACGUGUCAG